rnacentral:rRNA from 1 species
CCCUUAGAUGUCCUGGGCCGCACGCGCGCUACACUGAGUGUCUGAGAUACGAGUCUGCCCGGUCCGGCAAGGUCUAGGUAAUCGCUAAAAGACACAUCAUGCUUGGGAUAGAUUAUUGCAAAUAUUAAUCUUGAACGAGGAAUUCCUAGUAAGCGCAAGCCAACAGCUUGCGUUGAUUACGUCCCUGCCCUUUGUACACACCGCCCGUCGCUACUACUGAUUGGAUGUUUAAGCGAGGUUCUCGAACUGCUAGCGACUUAGCUUCGGUGAGGUCGCAGUGUGGGAAGUGAACCUAGCUUUGGUGUCUAGAGGAAGUAAAAGUCGUAACA